GACGAACGCUGGCGGCGUGCUUAACACAUGCAAGUCGAACGGAAAGGCCCUGCUUUUGUGGGGUUCUCGAGUGGCGAACGGGGGAGUAACAGGUGAGUAACCUGCCCUUGACUUUGGGAUAACUUCAGGAAACUGGGGCUAAUAUCGGACAGGAGCUCCUGCUGCGUGGAGGGGGGUGGAAAGUUGCGGCGGGUGGGGAUGGACUCGCGGCUUAUCAGCUUGUUGGUGGGGUAGUUGCUUACCAAGGCUUUGACGGGUAGCCGGCAUGAGAGGGUGACCGGCCACCUUGGGACUGCGGUACGGCCCAGACUCCUACGGGAGGCAGCAGUGGGGAAUAUUGCACAAUGGGCGGAAGCCUGAUGCAGCAACGCCCCGUGCGGGAUGACCGCCUUCGGGUUGUAAACCGCUUUAGCCUGUGACGAAGCGUGAGUGACGGUAAUGGGUAAAGAAGCACCGGCUAACUUCGUG
rnacentral:rRNA from 1 species